UGAACACUUGUGGACCAGAGAUGAGC
rnacentral:piRNA from 1 species